rnacentral:lncRNA from 1 species
AUUUGCAUAAAAAAAUCUAUCAAUUUUGAACUUUUGCAAAAGUAAGCCGUCUUUUUGAAUUUUACAAAUUCGGACCGAAUUUUCAGAAAGAUGACCAAAUUACUCAUCUUUCAAAAUGUAUAAAAAUUAUACGCUUUAAAUGUCUGAAAAAAUACAACUGCUAAAUUAUUAAGUGUCAAAUUUCUUAAAAAUGACAACUACUAAGCCAUAAUUACAUGUACCUUUUUCGUGAAACGAGAAUCCUCAUUUAAGACAAAAUAAAAAAAAAGUAUAAUUAAUAAGAUGAAAUAGUGAAACAUCCUCUCAAAUAGUGCAGUAUACUUUUCCAAAUAGUGCAAUAUCUGUAUAAGUAGUGCAACAUAUACAAUGCUCAAAUAGUGUAAUAUCUAUAUAAGUAGUGCAACAUAUGUAUUGUCAAUACAUAUUUUGUAGUGUUUCUUAGCUUUGGAUAGGAUUGGCUUCAGUGUUAGUGACUAGUCGACACAUCUGGAGAGUGUCGGACUGAGUCGGAGUCGUUUCUGUGCGAAAUGGAUGCAGAAAUGGAUUCGGCGCACUCAAAUAAGUAAAAC